rnacentral:RNase_P_RNA from 1 species
GAAGCUGGCCAGACAGUCGCUGCCUGUCAUUUGAUGGGGGGAGGAAAGUCCGGACUUCACAGAGCAGGGUGCCAGGUAACGCCUGGGCGGCGAAAGCCGACGACAAGUGCAGCAGAAAAAAUACCGCCGAUGGCCGGGGAGUUGCCUAAAGUAAAGUUAAGAAACUGACGAGGCAAAACUUAGCGAAAACGCGCAGUUUAUAAUCAUAAAUGAGCAUUUGAGUUAAGAUUUUAACGAAGUCAGAUCGAAAAAUUUGCUUUAGGCAACUUCUCGGCACAGGUAAGGUUGAAAUGGUGCGGUAAGAGCGCACCGCAUUGCUGGUAACAGUAUAUGGCGAGGUAAACUCCACCCGAAGCAAGACCAAAUAGGGUUCCGUAUGGCGUGGCUCGCGUUGGAACCGGGUAGGUUGCUGGAGCUAUCGAGUGAUUGAUAGCCUAGACGAAUGACUGUCCAAGACAGAAUCCGGCUUAUCGGCCAGCUUCACUA